UGGAACCAUUAACAAGAUCUAGUCUUUCUGU
rnacentral:piRNA from 1 species